rnacentral:rRNA from 1 species
AUUGAACGCUGGCGACAGGCCUAACACAUGCAAGUCGAGCGGAUGAAGGGAGCUUGCUCCUGGAUUCAGCGGCGGACGGGUGAGUAAUGCCUAGGAAUCUGCCUGGUAGUGGGGGAUAACGUCCGGAAACGGGCGCUAAUACCGCAUACGUCCUGAGGGAGAAAGUGGGGGAUCUUCGGACCUCACGCUAUCAGAUGAGCCUAGGUCGGAUUAGCUAGUUGGUGGGGUAAAGGCCUACCAAGGCGACGAUCCGUAACUGGUCUGAGAGGAUGAUCAGUCACACUGGAACUGAGACACGGUCCAGACUCCUACGGGAGGCAGCAGUGGGGAAUAUCGGACAAUGGGCGAAAGCCUGAUCCAGCCAUGCCGCGUGUGUGAAGAAGGUCUUCGGAUUGUAAAGCACUUUAAGUUGGGAGGAAGGGCAGUAAGUUAAUACCUUGCUGUUUUGACGUUACCAACAGAAUAAGCACCGGCUAACUUCGU